GGUUAAGCGACUAAGCGUACACGGUGGAUGCCCUGGCAGUCAGAGGCGAUGAAGGACGUGCUAAUCUGCGAAAAGCGUCGGUAAGGUGAUAUGAACCGUUACAGCCGGCGAUGUCCGAAUGGGGAAACCCAGUGUGAUUCGUCACACUAUCGUUAACUGAAUACAUAGGUUAACGAGGCGAACCGGGGGAACUGAAACAUCUAAGUA
rnacentral:rRNA from 1 species